AGGAUGAACGCUAGCGGCGUGCCUAACACAUGCAAGUCGAGCGGGAAAUCUCAAAGCAAAUCUUUGGAAAAACCGUUUGAAGUGGAGAGCGGGCGACGGGUGAGUAACGCGUAGGCAACCUGCCCCAUACAGAGGGAUAGCCUCGGGAAACCGGGAUUAAAACCUCAUAAUGCGAAGGAUUCUCAUGUAUUCUUCGCCAAAGAUUUAUCGGUAUGGGAUGGGCCUGCGUCUGAUUAGCUAGUUGGUAGGGUAACGGCCUACCAAGGCAACGAUCAGUAGCCGACCUGAGAGGGUAAUCGGCCACAUUGGAACUGAGACACGGUCCAAACUCCUACGGGAGGCAGCAGUGGGGAAUAUUGCACAAUGGGCGAAAGCCUGAUGCAGCAACGCCGCGUGAGCGAUGAAGGCCUUUGGGUUGUAAAGCUCUGUCCUAGGGCAAGAAUAAAUGACGGUACCCUUGGAGGAAGCCCCGGCUAACUACGUGCCAGCAGCCGCGGUAAUACGUAGGGGGCGAGCGUUAUCCGGAAUUAUUGGGCGUAAAGAGUGCGUAGGUGGUUUUGUAAGCGCGGGGUGAAAGGCAAUGGCUCAACCAUUGUAAGCCCUGCGAACUGUGAGACUUGAGUGCAGGAGAGGAAAGUGGAAUUCCUAGUGUAGCGGUGAAAUGCGUAGAUAUUAGGAGGAACACCAGUGGCGAAGGCGACUUUCUGGACUGUAACUGACACUGAGGCACGAAAGCGUGGGGAGCAAACAGGAUUAGAUACCCAGGUAGUCCACGCCGUAAACGAUGAGCACUAGGUGUCGGGGUCGCAAGGCUUCGGUGCCGCAGUUAACGCAUUAAGUGCUCCGCCUGGGGAGUACGCACGCAAGUGUGAA
rnacentral:rRNA from 1 species